GACGAACGCUGGCGGCGUGCUUAACACAUGCAAGUCGAACGGAAAGGCCCUGCUUUUGUGGGGUGCUCGAGUGGCGAACGGGUGAGUAACACGUGAGUAACCUGCCCUUGACUUUGGGAUAACUUUAGGAAACUGGGGCUAAUACCGGAUAGGAGCUCCUGCUGCAUGGUGGGGGUUGGAAAGUUUCGGCGGUUGGGGAUGGACUCGCGGCUUAUCAGCUUGUUGGUGGGGUAGUGGCUUACCAAGGCUUUGACGGGUAGCCGGCCUGAGAGGGUGACCGGCCACAUGGGGACUGAGAUACGGCCCAGACUCCUACGGGAGGCAGCAGUGGAGAAUAUUGCACAAUGGGCGGAAGCCUGAUGCAGCAACGCCGCGUGCGGGAUGACGGCCUUCGGGUUGUAAACCGCUUUCGCCUGUGACGAAGCGUGAGUGACGGUAAUGGGUAAAGAAGCACCGGCUAACUACGUG
rnacentral:rRNA from 1 species